UACGUAGGGUGCAAGCGUUGUCCGGAAUUAUUGGGCGUAAAGAGCUCGUAGGCGGUUUGUCACGUCGGAUGUGAAAACCCGAGGCUUAACCUCGGGCCUGCAUUCGAUACGGGCUGACUAGAGUUCGGUAGGGGAGACUGGAAUUCCUGGUGUAGCGGUGAAAUGCGCAGAUAUCAGGAGGAACACCGGUGGCGAAGGCGGGUCUCUGGGCCUGUACUGACGCUGAGGAGCGAAAGCGUGGGGAGCAAACAGG
rnacentral:rRNA from 1 species